AGAGCGAACGCUGGCGGCAGGCCUAAUACAUGCAAGUCGAACGGAUCCUUCGGGAUUAGUGGCGGACGGGUGAGUAACACGUGGGAACGUACCCUUUGGUUCGGAACAACUCAGGGAAACUUGAGCUAAUACCGAAUGUGCCCUUCGGGGAAAAGAUUUAUCGCCAUUGGAGCGGCCCGCGUCUGAUUAGCUAGUUGGUAGGGUAAAGGCCUACCAAGGCUACGAUCAGUAGCUGGUCUGAGAGGAUGAUCAGCCACACUGGGACUGAGACACGGCCCAGACUCCUACGGGAGGCAGCAGUAGGGAAUCUUGCGCAAUGGGCGAAAGCCUGACGCAGCCAUGCCGCGUGAAUGAUGAAGGUCUUAGGAUUGUAAAAUUUCUUUCAGCGGGGACGAUAAUGACGGUACCCGCAGAAGACGCCCCGGCUAACUUCGCGCCAGCAGCCGC
rnacentral:rRNA from 1 species